rnacentral:rRNA from 1 species
GACGAACGCUGGCGGCGUGCUUAACACAUGCAAGUCGAACGGAAAGGCCCUGCUUUUGUGGGGUGCUCGAGUGGCGAACGGGUGAGUAACACGUGAGUAACCUGCCCUUGACUUUGGGAUAACUUCAGGAGACUGGGGCUAAUACCCGAUAGGAGCUCCUGCUGCAUGGUGGGGGUUGGAAAGUUUCGGCGGUUGGGGAUGGACUCGCGGCUUAUCAGCUUGUUGGUGGGGUAGUGGCUUACCAAGGCUUUGACGGGUAGCCGGCCUGAGAGGGUGACCGGCCACAUUGGGACUGAGAUACGGCCCAGACUCCUACGGGAGGCAGCAGUGGGGAAUAUUGCACAAUGGGCGGAAGCCUGAUGCAGCAACGCCGCGUGCGGGAUGACGGCCUUCGGGUUGUAAACCGCUUUCGCCUGUGACGAAGCGUGAGUGACGGUAAUGGGUAAAGAAGCACCGGCUAACUACGUG